rnacentral:rRNA from 1 species
AAAGGGGGGCUAAUACUGCAAGUCGAACGCUUUGUCUUUAAUUGAUCUGAACGAGCUUGCUCUGAUUUGAUUUUAUCUGACAAAGAGUGGCGAACGGGUGAGUAACACGUGGGUAACCUACCUCUUACCAGGGGAUAUCAUUUGGAAACAAGUGCUAAUACCGUAUAAUACCAACAACCGCAUGGUUGUUGGUUGAAAGAUGGUUCUGCUAUCACUAAGAGAUGGACCCGCGGUGCAUUAGCUAGUUGGUAAGGUAACGGCUUACCAAGGCAAUGAUGCAUAUCCCAGUUGAGAGACUGAUCGGCCACAAUGGGACUGAGACACGGCCCAUACUCCUACGGGAGGCAGCAGUAGGGAAUCUUCCACAAUGGGCGCAAGCCUGAUGGAGCAACGCCCCGUGUGUGAUAAAAGGUUUCGGCUCGUAAAACACUGUUUUAAAAAAAAAACGGCACUGAGAGUAACUGUUCACUGUGUGACGGUAUCUUACCAGAAAGGAACGGCUAAAUACGUGCCAGCAGCCGCGGUAAUACAUAUGUUCCAAGCGUUAUCCGGAUUUAUUGGGCGUAAAACGAGCGCACACGGUUUUUUAAAUCUGAAGUGAAAGCCCUCAGCUCAACUGAGGAAUGGCUUUGGAAACUGGAUGACUUGAGUGCACUAAAGGAAAGUGGAACUCCAUGUGUAUCGCUGAAAUGCGUAUAUAUAUGGAAGAACACCAGUGGGGAAAGCGGCUUUCUGGACUGUAACUGACACUGAGGCUCUCAAGUGUGUGUAGCGAACAGGAUAUUAUACCCUGGGAGUCCCCCCCCCCAUACGAUAAGUGCAAUAUGUUUCGAGGGGUUUCCCCCCCUUUAGUGUCGCAGCCUAACGCAUUUAAACACUCCCCCCCGGGGGGGAACCACCCCCACGGU